GAUGAACGCUGGCGGCGUGCCUAAUACAUGCAAGUCGAGCGAACGGACGAGAAGCUUGCUUCUCUGAUGUUAGCGGCGGACGGGUGAGUAACACGUGGAUAACCUACCUAUAAGGCUGGGAUAACUUCGGGAAACCGUAGCUAAUACCGGAUAAUAUUUUGAACCGCAUGGUUCAAAAGUGAAAGACGGUCUUGCUGUCACUUAUAGAUGGAUCCGCGCUGCAUUAGCUAGCUGGUAAGGUAACGGCUUACCAAGGCAACGAUGCAUAGCCGACCUGAGAGGGUGAUCGGCCACACUGGAACUGAGACACGGUCCAGACUCCUACGGGAGGCAGCAGUAGGGAAUCUUCCGCAAUGGGCGAAAGCCUGACGGAGCAACGCCGCGUGAGUGAUGAAGGUCUUCGGAUCGUAAAACUCUGUUAUUAGGGAAGAACAUAUGUGUAAGUAACUGUGCACAUCUUGACGGUACCUAAUCAGAAAGCCACGGCUAACUACGUG
rnacentral:rRNA from 1 species